UUGAAAAUAGGUUUAGUCUUUAGCAAAACGUACGUUUGAGCUGCCGCAUUUGGACGAGAUUCCCUUGUUAUCAAGAUUAUAGCACAAGUGAAAUACGGGAAAUGGAGAUGUCAACUAUGAAAAUGACGACCAUGAUGAACACGACAAGGAAUGGCACUGUCAAUGAUAGCACCACUGAAGCGCUCACUUUGGCCACCCAGGUGGUCAACAUCUUAAUCCUGGUAUUUUUGAUGAUCUCUAUGGGUUGCACCAUCGAUCUCAAGGAUUUGAAACAAACGUUUCGUCAUCCGGCUGGUUUCUUCGUUGGGAUGCUAUGUCAGUUUGUCCUGAUGCCCCUCAUCGCAUUCUGUCUCGGGCUUGCUUUCAGACUGGA